UACAUUGAUCAGGUUUAGAGCUCAACUCAAACUAUGGCUGAAAACAAACCAGUCAUGUGACCACUAGACUUUUAACAUUCCCUUGUGUUGUUUAUUUUGUAUAUUAUAUUUUCUUUCUUAUGUAUUUGCCUGCCUAGGGACUACGGAUGAAAACUAGCUUUGUAGCUAUAAUCCGGCAUAUUUACAUUUGUUUUUAUACUGAUGUUCAUUAAUGUGCAUUAGAGUCUGUUAGAAAA